GACGUAGGGCGCGAGCGUUGUCCGGAUUUAUUGGGCGUAAAGAGCUCGUAGGCGGCUCGUUGCGUCGGCUGUGAAAACCCGCAGCUCAACUGUGGGCUUGCAGCCGAUACGGGCGGGCUUGGAUUCGGUAGGGGGGACUGGAAUUCCUGGUGUAGCGGUGAAAUGCGCAGAUAUCAGGAGGAACACCGGUGGCGAAGGCGGGUCUCUGGGCCGAUAUCGACGCUGAGGAGCGAAAGCGUGGGGAGCGAACAGG
rnacentral:rRNA from 1 species